rnacentral:rRNA from 1 species
ACUGUAUGCGGUGGAUCACUCGGCUCGUGGAUCGAUGAAGAGUGCAGCCAACUGUGUGAAUUAAUGUGAAUCGCAGACUGCUUUGAACAUCGAUAUCUUGAACGCAUAUUGCGGCCAUGGGCUUGCCUAUGGCCACGUCUGUCUGAGCGUCGGCUUAUAAACUAUCACUGCGCGUAAUAAGCAGUGGCUUGGGAGAGUGCCAUAAUUGCAGUGUUUUGUGUGCAAUUGGGGCUUCUCUUUAAGGUGUAGUCACAGCCAUUGCUAUUUUUAUGAAUAGCGAUGCGUGUGGCACGGAGCUUGUGGUUGUGAGUGUCAGUCGCUAUGCGCCAGCACUCCUUCGAUUUGCUACGGCAGUGAUGGGGCGUUGUGUGAAUGUGUGUGUGUGCGUGAGCCCCAGUACUAGCUGCCGUUGCGUGGAGUAGUGCAAGAGCGCUAUAGCUGCUGCUGCAAUUCACUAACCGUGGCCUAGUGACCUCAGAUCAGUCGCGAGUACCCGCUGAACUUAAGCAUAUCAAUAAGCGGAGGAAAAGAAACUAACCAGGAUUCCCUUGGUAACGGCGAGUGAAGAGGGAAGAGCCCAGCACCGAAGCCUGCGGCAGUUUUGCUGUUAGGCAAUGUGGUGUGUGGGUCGGCUCGCGGGACCAUCACUCCACUCGAAGUCCAGCAUUGAGUAUGGCAUCACUGGAUUUGGCCCAUAGAGGGUGAGAGGCCCGUACGGGUGGAGGUUCAGACAUGUGAGAUGGUUCACCAGGCCGGCCUCAGAGUCGGGUUGUUGCUGUACUUGUACGUGGAGUGGCGACACUUUGCGUGCAAAGCCUGUGCGUCAUCGGGGCGGAGCAUGAGCACACACGUUGAGACCCGAAAGAUGGUGAACUAUGCUUGCGUAGGUUGAAGCCAGAGGAAACUCUGGUGGAGGACCGUAGCGAUUCUGACGUGCAAAUCGAUCGUCAAACGUGAGUAUAGGGGCGAAAGACUAAUCGAACCAUCUAGUAGCUGGUUCCCUCCGAAGUUUCCCUCAGGAUAGCUGGCGCUCAUUGGUAUAAUCAGUUUUAUCCGGUAAAGCGAAUGAUUAGAGGUACUGGGUUCGAAAUGGACUCAACCUAUUCUCAAACUUUAAAUGGGUGAGAUGCUCGACUCGCCUCGUGUGCGUGUGUGUAAUAACUGCGCGGAGUCGGGCGUUGAAUGUGCGAGUGCCAAGUGGGCCAUUUUUGGUAAGCAGAACUGGCGCUGUGGGAUGAACCAAACGCGUGGUUAAGGUGCCUAACGCUGACGCUCAUGAGAUACCACAAAAGGUGUUGGUUAAUAUAGACAGCAGGACGGUGGCCAUGGAAGUCGGCAUCCGCUAAGGAGUGUGUAACAACUCACCUGCCGAAUUGACCAGCCCUGAAAAUGGAUGGCGCUAGAGCGUCGGACCUAUACCGCGCCGUCAUCGCAAGCUGCACCUAUGGGGUUGUACAUUAUGUGGGCGUGUGUGAUCGCAGGUACAUUCGUGGUGCAGGCAAGGAGCGCGAUGACGAGUAGGAGGGUCGCCGUGGUGAGCGUAGAAGCCUCUGGCGUGAGUCAGGGUGGAGCCGCCACGGGUGCAGAUCUUGGUGGUAGUAGCAAAUAUUCAAGUGAGAACCUUGAAGGCCGAGGUGGAGAAGGGUUCCAUGGGAACAGCAGUUGGCCAUGGGUCAGGCGGUCCUAAGCGAUCCGGUGACUCGGUACAGAGUCGUGGGGUGCCUUAUAUGUUUCUGUGUUAACUUGUGAAGUGCCUUAAUUGUGUACUAAUACAUGUGUGUGUGUGCUGGCAGCCCCUCGGAGCGAAAGGGAAUCGGGUUAAUAUUCCCGACCCUGCCCACGGAGAUAGGUGGUGCAUGUGUGCUUGCAUUGGCGCGUGCAUCUUCGGGUGUAUGUGUUUGGUGUGAGUUACUGGCAUCAUCAAGCGCGGCAACGCAAACGAACUCGGAGACGUCGGCAAGAGUUCCGGGAAGAGUUUUCUUUUCUUUGUAAGGACGGCUACCACCCCUGGAAUCGGGUUGUCCGGAGAUAGGGGUCUCGCCUCCGUAAAGCACCACCCCUCUUGUGGUGUCCGGUACGCUCUUGUCGGCCCUUGAAAAUCCGAGGGAGGCAUUGUGAUUUUCGUGGCAGGCCGUACCCAUAUCCGCAUCAGGUCUCCAAGGUGAAGAGCCUCUGGCACUAGAAUAAUGUAGGUAAGGGAAGUCGGCAUAUUUGAUCCGUAACCUCGGGAAAAGGAUUGGCUCUGAGGGCUGAGCUAAACAGGCUGAAGUAGGAAACGUGCCUGCUUGGCUCGCGGCUGGUCCGAGUGCUGGUUCAAACCUGCUAUCGUGCUGUAGCAUUGCCUACUCGUUAAGCAAUGCUGCAAGCGGUGGCGGAGAGCUGUGCGCUCGGACUGGAAGCGAGCAGAGUGGGUCGUGGGCGACUUCAGCUAUGCAUACGCCUUGGUUGGCGACUGUGUGCUGCUGCCUUAACGGGUGGUGUGCAGGCAGUUGUAUGGCCU